rnacentral:rRNA from 1 species
GUGGGGAAUAUUGGACAAUGGGGGGAACCCUGAUCCAGCCAUGCCGCGUGUGUGAAGAAGGCCUUUUGGUUGUAAAGCACUUUAAGCGAGGAGGAGGCGCCCUAGAUUAAUACUCUAGGAGCGUGGACGUUACUCGCAGAAUAAGCACCGGCUAACUCUGUGCCAGCAGCCGCGGUAAUACAGAGGGUGCGAGCGUUAAUCGGAUUUACUGGGCGUAAAGCGUACGUAGGCGGCUUUUUAAGUCGGAUGUGAAAUCCCUGAGCUUAACUUAGGAAUUGCAUUCGAUACUGGGAAGCUAGAGUAUGGGAGAGGAUGGUAGAAUUCCAGGUGUAGCGGUGAAAUGCGUAGAGAUCUGGAGGAAUACCGAUGGCGAAGGCAGCCAUCUGGCCUAAUACUGACGCUGAGGUACGAAAGCAUGGGGAGCAAACAGGAUUAGAUACCCGAGUAGUCC